rnacentral:rRNA from 1 species
GAUGAACGCUGGCGGCGUGCCUAAUACAUGCGAGUCGAGCGAACGGACGAGAAGCUUGCUUCUCUGAUGUUAGCGGCGGACGGGUGAGUAACACGUGGAUAACCUACCUAUAAGACUGGGAUAACUUCGGGAAACCGGAGCUAAUACCGGAUAAUAUUUUGAACCGCAUGGUUCAAAAGUGAAAGACGGUCUUGCUGUCACUUAUAGAUGGAUCCGCGCUGCAUUAGCUAGUUGGUAAGGUAACGGCUUACCAAGGCAACGAUGCAUAGCCGACCUGAGAGGGUGAUCGGCCACACUGGAACUGAGACACGGUCCAGACUCCUACGGGAGGCAGCAGUAGGGAACCUUCCGCAAUGGGCGAAAGCCUGACGGAGCAACGCCGCGUGAGUGAUGAAGGUCUUCGGAUCGUAAAACUCUGUUAUUAGGGAAGAACAUAUGUGUAAGUAACUGUGCACAUCUUGACGGUACCUAAUCAGAAAGCCACGGCUAACUACGUG